rnacentral:rRNA from 1 species
GACGAACGCUGGCGGCGUGCUUAACACAUGCAAGUCGAACGGAAAGGCCCUGCCUUUGUGGGGUGCUCGAGUGGCGAACGGGUGAGUAACACGUGAGUAACCUGCCCUUGACUGUGGGAUAACUUCAGGAAACUGGGGCUAAUACCGGAUAGGAGCUCCUGCUGCAUGGUGGGGGUUGGAAAGUUUCGGCGGUUGGGGAUGGACUCGCGGCUUAUCAGCUUGUUGGUGGGGUAGUGGCUUACCAAGGCUUUGACCGGUAGCCGGCCUGAGAGGGUGACCGGCCACAUUGGGACUGAGAUGCGGCCCAGCCUCCUACGGGAGGCAGCAGUGGGGAAUAUUGCACAAUGGGCGGAAGCCUGAUGCAGCAACGCCGCGUGCGGGAUGACGGCCUUCGGGUUGUAAACCGCUUUCGCCUGUGCCGAAGCGUGAGUGACGGUAAUGGGUAAAGAAGCACCGGCUAACUACGUG